GUAUCUAUGCCCAUACCAAUUCUCCUCGGAUCCCAUAAUUGAUCUCGAACGAAUGCUGUUAAAAAUUGGAUUUAAAGUUUUACAGUUGAGCAUCGAACCAAAGGAUAUCAUGUUGCCGACGGAGUCCGCUUCCGCAUUUAUGUUUUCGCACUCGCCAAUCGAGUUGCCUCUAGAUUUUCCGUCAGCCUGCCUAGAUGUUUUAAGGGAGUGGAAUUAUGUACAUACCAAAGAAGAUAAUAAAGAAUAUUGUUGCCUGAAGUAUCAUAUGAUUUUUGGAUAUGUUGCAAAACUUUAGUAAUCUGUUUUAUGUAUAAAUUUAUGUUAUGUAUAUUAUUUAUCUAUAGAUGUUUUAUAUGAACAGGCUUUUUAUACAUGUAAGGAAAACCAAGAAAAAUUUUAAAUUAAAUGGCUUUAUCGAUUUUAAAA